rnacentral:rRNA from 1 species
AUUGAACGCUGGCGGCAUGCCUUACACAUGCAAGUCGAACGGCAGCACGGGAGCAAUCCUGGUGGCGAGUGGCGAACGGGUGAGUAGAGUAUCGGAACGUACCAUUGAGUGGGGGAUAACGUAGCGAAAGUUACGCUAAUACCGCAUAUACCCUGAGGGGGAAAGCAGGGGAUCGCAAGACCUUGUGCUCUUUGAGCGGCCGAUAUCAGAUUAGCUAGUUGGUGAGGUAAAGGCUCACCAAGGCGACGAUCUGUAGCGGGUCUGAGAGGAUGAUCCGCCACACUGGAACUGAGACACGGUCCAGACUCCUACGGGAGGCAGCAGUGGGGAAUUUUGGACAAUGGGGGCAACCCUGAUCCAGCCAUGCCGCGUGAGUGAAGAAGGCCUUCGGGUUGUAAAGCUCUUUCGGCCGGGAGGAAAUCGCAUCAGCUAAUACCUGGUGUGGAUGACAGUACCGGAAUAAGAAGCACCGGCUAACUACGUGCCAGCAGCCGCCGUAA